rnacentral:rRNA from 1 species
GGCUAACGCUGGCGGCGUGUCUUAGCCAUGCAAGUCGAGCGGACUUAUGGGGUAACUUAUAAGUCAGCGGCGGACGGCGGAGUAACACGUAGCUAACCUACCCUCUGGACGGGGAUAACCUACCGAAAGGUGGGCUAAUACCCGAUGUAGUCAUCCUGUAUAGGGGUGAUGAAAGGUGGGCUUCUGUUUACAAGCUCAUGCUGGAGGAGGGGGCUGCGGCCUAUCAGGUAGUUGGUAGGGUAAUAGCCUACCAAGCCGAUGACGGGUAGCCGGCCUGAGAGGGUGACCGGCCCGAGGGGCACUGAGAUACGGGUCCCACUCCUACGGGAGGCAGCAGGCUAGAAAUUUGGGCAAUGGGCGGAAGCCUGACCGAGCGACGCCGCGUGAGGGACGAAGGCCUUCGGGUUGUAAACCUCUGUCUGGGGGGACGAGUAAGGACGGUACCCCCGGAGGAAGCCCCGGCUAACUACGUG